rnacentral:rRNA from 1 species
GAGAAUCGCAUGAUUUUCUUAUCAAAGAUUUAUUGCUUUGAGAUGGACCCGCGGCGCAUUAGCUAGUUGGUAAGGUAACGGCUUACCAAGGCAACGAUGCGUAGCCGACCUGAGAGGGUGAUCGGCCACAUUGGAACUGAGACACGGUCCAGACUCCUACGGGAGGCAGCAGUGGGGAAUAUUGCGCAAUGGGGGAAACCCUGACGCAGCAACGCCGCGUGGGUGAUGAAGGUCUUCGGAUUGUAAAGCCCUGUUUUCUAGGACGAUAAUGACGGUACUAGAGGAGGAAGCCACGGCUAACUACGUGCCAGCAGCCGCGGUAAUACGUAGGUGGCGAGCGUUGUCCGGAUUUACUGGGCGUAAAGGGUGCGUAGGCGGAUGUUUAAGUGGGAUGUGAAAUCCCCGGGCUUAACCUGGGGGCUGCAUUCCAAACUGGAUAUCUAGAGUGCAGGAGAGGAAAGCGGAAUUCCUAGUGUAGCGGUGAAAUGCGUAGAGAUUAGGAAGAACACCAGUGGCGAAGGCGGCUUUCUGGACUGUAACUGACGCUGAGGCACGAAAGCGUGGGUAGCAAACAGGAUUAGAUACCCUGGUAGUCCACGCCGUAAACGAUGGAUACUAGGUGUAGGGGGUAUCAACUCCCCCUGUGCCGCAGUUAACACAAUAAGUAUCCCGCCUGGGGAGUACGGUCGCAAGAUUAAAACUCAAAGGAAUUGACGGGGGCCCGCACAAGCAGCGGAGCAUGUGGUUUAAUUCGAAGCAACGCGAAGAACCUUACCUGGACUUGACAUCCCUUGCAUAGCCUAGAGAUAGGUGAAGCCCUUCGGGGCAAGGAGACAGGUGGUGCAUGGUUGUCGUCAGCUCGUGUCGUGAGAUGUUAGGUUAAGUCCUGCAACGAGCGCAACCCUUGUUAUUAGUUGCUACCAUUAAGUUGAGCACUCUAAUGAGACUGCCUGGGUAACCAGGAGGAAGGUGGGGAUGACGUCAAAUCAUCAUGCCCCUUAUGUCCAGGGCUACACACGUGCUACAAUGGUAGGUACAAUAAGACGCAAGACCGUGAGGUGGAGCAAAACUUAUAAAACCUAUCUCAGUUCGGAUUGUAGGCUGCAACUCGCCUACAUGAAGCUGGAGUUGCUAGUAAUCGCGAAUCAGAAUGUCGCGGUGAAUACGUUCCCGGGCCUUGUACACACCGCCCGUCACACCAUGAGAGCUGGUAACACCCGAAGUCCGUGAGGUAACCGUAAGGAGCCAGCGGCCGAAGGUGGGAUUAGUGAUUGGGGUGAAGUCGUAACAAGGUAGCCGUAGGAGAACCUGCGGCUGGAUCACCUCCUUUCUA